rnacentral:rRNA from 1 species
UGGGGAAUUUUGGACAAUGGGCGAAAGCCUGAUCCAGCAAUGCCGCGUGUGUGAAGAAGGCCUUCGGGUUGUAAAGCACUUUUGUCCGGAAAGAAAUCCUUGGCUCUAAUACAGUCGGGGGAUGACGGUACCGGAAGAAUAAGCACCGGCUAACUACGUGCCAGCAGCCGCGGUAAUACGUAGGGUGCAAGCGUUAAUCGGAAUUACUGGGCGUAAAGCGUGCGCAGGCGGUUUGCUAAGACCGAUGUGAAAUCCCCGGGCUCAACCUGGGAACUGCAUUGGUGACUGGCAGGCUAGAGUAUGGCAGAGGGGGGUAGAAUUCCACGUGUAGCAGUGAAAUGCGUAGAGAUGUGGAGGAAUACCGAUGGCGAAGGCAGCCCCCUGGGCCAAAUNCUGACGCUCAUGCACGAAAGCGUGGGGGAGCAAAACAGGAUUAGAUACCCCUGGUAGUCCACGCCCUAAAACGAUGUCAACUAGUUGUUGGGGAUUCAUUUCCUUAGUAACGUAGCUAACGCGUGAAGUUGACCGCCU